rnacentral:rRNA from 1 species
AGCAGCCGCGGUAAUUCCAGCUCCAAUAGCGUAUAUUAAAGUUGUUGCAGUUAAAAAGCUCGUAGUUGAAUUUCGAGAUCAAAUUGUUGGUCGUGCCUUGGUACGCACUGGCAUUAUUGGUUUCUCCCUUCUGACGAACCAUGAUGUCAUUAAUUUGGUGUCUUGGGGAAUCAGGACUGUUACUUUGAAAAAAUUAGAGUGUUUAAAGCAGGCUCACGCUUGAAUACAUUAGCAUGGAAUAAUGAAAUAGGACGUUUGAUUCUAUUUUGUUGGUUUCUAGGAUCGACGUAAUGAUUAAUAGGGAUAGUUGGGGGCAUUAGUAUUCAAUUGUCAGAGGUGAAAUUCUUGGAUUUAUUGAAGACUAACUACUGCGAAAGCAUUUGCCAAGGAUGUUUUCAUUAAUCAAGAACGAAAGUUAGGGGAUCGAAGACGAUCAGAUACCGUCGUAGUCUUAACCAUAAACUAUGCCGACUAGGGAUCGGAUGAUGUAAUUUUUAAUGA